rnacentral:tRNA from 1 species
GCCCACAUCGCAUAAUCAGGAAUUGCUGGAGGUCUUAAAAACCUUUUGUCUGCCAAGACUUACGGGUUCAAAUCCCGUCGUGGGUG